UACGAAGGGGGCUAGCGUUGCUCGGAAUUACUGGGCGUAAAGGGCGCGUAGGCGGACAGUUUAGUCAGAGGUGAAAGCCCGGGGCUCAACCUCGGAAUUGCCUUCAAUACUGGCUGUCUUGAGUGUGAGAGAGGUGUGUGGAACUCCGAGUGUAGAGGUGAAAUUCGUAGAUAUUCGGAAGAACACCAGUGGCGAAGGCGACACACUGGCUCACUACUGACGCUGAGGCGCGAAAGCGUGGGGAGCAAACAGG
rnacentral:rRNA from 1 species